GACAGAGGGUGCAAACGUUGUUCGGAAUUACUGGGCGUAAAGCGCGUGUAGGCGGCCAUCUAAGUCGGGCGUGAAAUCCCACGGCUCAACCGUGGAAGUGCACUCGAAACUGGAUGGCUAGAGUCCUGGAGAGGAAGGUGGAAUGCUUGGUGUAGAGGUGAAAUUCGUAGAUAUCAAGCGGAACACCGGUGCGAAGGCGGCCUUCUGGACAGUGACUGACGCUGAGACGGCGAAAGCGUGGGGAGCAAACAGGG
rnacentral:rRNA from 1 species